GCGCCCGUAGCUCAACUGGAUAGAGUAGCGGUCUUCGAAACCGUUGGUUGCAGGUUCGACUCCUGCCGGGCGCA
rnacentral:tRNA from 1 species